rnacentral:tRNA from 2 species
GCCGGAGUGGUGGAAUUGGUAGACGCGCCGGACUCAAAAUCCGGUGGGGUCAAACCCGUGCGAGUUCGAUUCUCGCCUCCGGCA